rnacentral:RNase_P_RNA from 1 species
GAAGGCUGGAUGGCCGCUUUGAUGCCUUGGUAUCAGAGAGGAAAGUCCGGACUCCGAAAAGAUACGGUGCCGGGUAACUCCCGGGCGGGGCAACCCGACGGAAAGCGCCACAGAAAUGAAACCGCCACGUCACGGGUCGGGCAACCGAAACCACGACGGGGUAAGGGUGAAAAGGUGGGGUAAGAGCCCACCGCGCCGCUGGCAACAGGGGUGGCAGGGCAAGCCCCACCGGGAGCAAUGCCAAAUAGGGACCGCGCGCCGCUGGCCUUCGGGUUGGGGGCGGGGCUGCUUUUGCCCCAGCAGGUCCGGGUUGGCAGCUGUAGCCCUGCGGGUAAUCGCAGGGUCAGAGGAAUGGUCAUCCAUGGGGUCACACCCGGGACAAAAUCCGGCUUACAGGCCUUCC